AUGCAAUACUUGAGCUUGGCAGGCAACAGGUUAUCCGGCGAGAUACCACCUGGUUUGGGCAACCUCUACAAUCUCGCCCAUCUCGGUCUCUCCAGCAACACGCUAUCAGGAGUCAUUCCUUCAUCCCUAGGGCUCUUGUCCAAUCUCUCAUGGCUCAGCUUAGGCUAUAACAAUCUAAGCGGAGUGAUCCCCGAUUCCAUAUGGAACAUUUCCUCUCUUACACUCUUCUCCGUCCAGCAAAACACGCUCAGUGGAACAAUACCUCCAAAUGCAUUCGAUAAUCUUCCCAGCCUCCAUAGCAUAUACAUGGAUAACAACCAGUUCCAUGGCCGGAUCCCAGCUUCCAUAGCUAAUGCUUCUGAUGUGUCGUUGUUUCAGCUCCACUACAACUUCUUUGACGGUGUCGUUCCUCCGGAGGUCGGAAGGUUAAGAAAUCUGUCUUUGCUGCAGAUCUCGGCAAAUUUGCUUCGAGCUCAAGAGCCAAAAGAUUGGCAAUUCAUAACCGCAUUAGCAAACUGCUCACAGUUAACUUCUAUGGAAAUGGGUGCCAAUAAUUUGGAGGGAGUUCUCCCCGAUUCGCUUUCCAAUUUUUCUACUUCAUUGAUAAAUCUCAGUUUUAGGGAGAACAAAAUAUCAGGAAGCAUCCCUAGGGACAUAGGUAACCUUGUUAACUUGGGAAAACUCGAUAUUUCUUACAACUCUUUCACUGGCACAUUUCCCUCUUCCUUCAGUGAGCUUACAAACUUGGUUGAACUCUAUGUGAUAGAAAAUAGAAUGAGUGGGUCAAUUCCAUGGACAAUAGGAAAUCUCACUGAACUAAAUUAUUUGGACCUUAGGAAGAAUGCCUUUAGUGGUAGGUUGCCAAGCACAAUUGGAAACCUAUCAAAGUUGUCGGCACUGUAUCUUUCAAGUAAUAGCUUCACCGGGCCCAUUCCAAUUGUUUUGUUCAAUAUUUCAUCUCUAUCUGUAGCUUUGGAUCUAUCCCAUAAUAACUUGAUGGGAUCGAUACCACAAGAAAUAGGGUAUCUAAAAAAUCUUGUAGAAUUCCAUGCAGAGUCAAACAAAUUAACCGGUGAAAUCCCUGACACCCUUGGUGAAUGUCAACUUCUUCAGAAUCUCUACCUCCAGAAUAACAUUUUAACUGGUGGAAUUCCCACGUCUAUGAGUCAGCUCAAAGGUUUGGGAAAUCUUGACCUAUCACGCAACAAUUUGACCGGUCAGAUUCCCAACUUCCUUGUGAACAUUACCAUGCUCAAUUACCUAAACCUUUCAUUCAAUAUCUUUGUUGGUGAAGUCCCAUAUUCUGGUGUUUUUGCAAAUGCCACUGCUAUCUGGAUCCAAGGCAAUCACAGACUUUGCGGUGGCAUACCUGAUCUACAUUUGCCUCCAUGUUCUUCACAAGUAGCAACGAAAGGAUCUCUUCUGAUUCCUAUCGUUGUUCUUUUUGCUGCUACAAUAGUCAUCCUUUCCUUGAUCUGCGUUUUCAUUUCUUGGCGCAAAAUCACAACUAAAAUUCCUUCAACAACAUCCAUGCAAGGCCACCAAUUCAUCUCUUAUUCACAGUUAGCAAGAGCAACGAAUGGUUUCUCAACAACAAAUCUGUUGGGUUUUGGCGCAUUCGGGACUGUAUUCAAAGGAACUAUAGGAGUCGAAGUUGGAGAAAGUACUAGGCUUGUUGCUGUUAAGGUACUAAAACUUCAAGCUCCUGGGGCGCUCAAGAGUUUCAUUGCAGAAUGCGAAGCACUGCGGAACCUACGGCACCGAAAUUUGGUCAAGAUAAUUACAGCCUGCUCAAGCAUUGAUAACAGAGGGAAUGACUUCAAAGCAAUAGUGUUGGAUUUCAUGCCCAAUGGUAGUUUAGAUGACUGGUUGCAUCCCGGCGCAAAUGACCAAGCAGCCAAAAACCUAAAUCUUAUUGAGAGAGUUAAUAUACUGCUUGAUGUGGCUAAUGCGUUGGAUUACCUACAUUGCCAUGGCCAUGCACCGGUUCUACAUUGUGACCUGAAAACAAGCAAUGUGCUCUUAGAUGCUGAGAUGGUGGCCCAUGUUGGAGACUUUGGACUAGCUAAGAUUCUUGUUGAGACAAGCUCGUAUUACCAACACUCAACAAGUUCCAUGGGAUUUAGAGGGACAUUCGGCUAUGCACCCCCAGAGUAUGGUGCUGGAAAUAUGAUAUCAACGUACGCAGAUAUUUACAGUUACGGAAUUCUCGUCUUAGAAACGGUAACAGGAAAGAAACCCACGGAUAGCAAAUUCGGAGAAGGGUUGAGCCUUCGUCAGUAUGCUGAAUUAGGUCUACGUGGCAGGCCUAUGGAUGUAGCUGACAACCGACUGUUGUUGAGCCUCGAGAAUGAACUUCAGACUGCAGAUGAUGACCAGCACAAACUGAAGAUUGAUUGCGUGAUUUCACUGCUUGGUCUUGGAUUAUCUUGCUCUCACGAAAUGCCAUCAAGUAGGAUGGCGACCGGAGAUAUCAUCAAGGAACUGCAUACCAUCAAAAAAUAUUCUUCUCUUUUAAGGAAUCCAGGAUCUGAUUCCUGCGGUGGCAUUUCCUACUUCCAACAAUUUGCAUUGCAGGAUUAG
rnacentral:rRNA from 1 species